rnacentral:lncRNA from 1 species
CCUGCAAGGAAAAGUGACCUAUGGGCUAGGGGGCCUGGCACAGGACCUGGUCACAGCAAAGAGCUUCACGAAUGUCAUUUCCCCGUCCCCUCCCUCCCGGCCCUGUCCCCAGCAUCUUCUGUAGACACGGUCAAAUCCCAGAUCUAACUGCAACUCUGCCGGACGCCCUCAAACAGGCUGCUGAGCCUCCCGGGACCGCAGUUUCCUCCCGUUUAAAACGGAGACAUUCGGACUUCACCUGAAAGUAUUAACUACGGUAACAGGAAUGUGCAGGGCAUUUAACAGGACAGUUUUGGGCCGAGGAUUCUACAGGGGAGGUGGCGGGGAGGCUGUGUUUGGGGUCCAGCAGACUCAGGCGGCCACUUGCCAUCACUCCCUCGCUGGCUCGCCUCUUCUGGGAAACCUCUGCCCAUCCCAAAUCUCCAAGGACAUGCAGUGACAACCCAGGGUGAUGACACAGAAGAGGCCUCGGACCCAGUCUGAGCUGGAGGAGCGGUCUGGUGAGGCGGCAGAGGGUCUCCAGGCCCGGCCCCCUCCCUGGGCCUCAGCUUCCCUGUGUGCAAAUGGAGGGCUCUGGAACUUUCGACCCUGACCUUCAAGGAUUCUGAGUGUAUCUACAGGUGAGCCUCAGUUUACCCUUCCCCCUAGGGCGGUCACUGAGUCGUGACUCAGCAGAGACUCCAAACGCUCGGCUGAGGCCUCAGAGACUAAGCAACAGAAGAGUGUGCAAGGAAGGCGACCUCUGCGGGAUUUUGACACACGGACCUGCUGGGAGCCAAGGCGAACCUCUCCUUCAACCCACCGGCUUUGACGGACCUUUAGCUGACUGGCCAAUUACCACCUGAGGGCCCGGCUGGGGGGAGGCCUGGGACCUGGCACCUUCCUUGGGUAGCUCGGACGUCUCCUUAAAAGCGAUACACAAAUGAGGCAGGACAAGUACAUGAAAACCAGGAAAACUGACCAAAGAGAUGCACCGCCCUGAGGCGGAAAGAUUUUGUCAACGAUCAGACCCAGACAGAUCCUAAGUAAGGAUACUGGGCACCUCUGAGGGAGGUGAGCUCCCCGGUUCCUGGGGGGCGGGAGGGGCUGGGGUGUUUGCCCUUUUGGGGUACUGCAGGGAUGACUUCUGCCUGGGGCCACAGGCAGGAAUCCGUGAUCUCUGAGAUGCCUUGUAGCCCAAUAGUGUUGUUCUAAGAUUGAGAUUCAACAUUCUAAGAUUCCUUAGAUGAAUUCAGAGAUCCCGUAGGGAUAUCAUAUAGGAGGAUGAUCACCUUAAGAUCUAAGUAAUCUCUGAUUCUUUUCUUUCUUUCUUUUUUUUGUCUUUUUUGCUAUUUCUUGGGCUGCUCCUGCGGCAUAUGGAGGUUCCCAGGCUAGGGGUCGAAUUAGAGCUGUAGCCACCGGCCUAUGCCAGAGCCACAGCAACGCUGGAUCCGAGCCGC